rnacentral:rRNA from 1 species
AUUGAACGCUGGCGGCAUGCCUUACACAUGCAAGUCGAACGGCAGCACGGAGCUUGCUCUGGUGGCGAGUGGCGAACGGGUGAGUAAUAUAUCGGAACGUACCCAAGAGUGGGGGAUAACGUAGCGAAAGUUACGCUAAUACCGCAUACGAUCUAAGGAUGAAAGCAGGGGAUCGCAAGACCUUGUGCUCCUGGAGCGGCCGAUAUCUGAUUAGCUAGUUGGUGAGGUAAAGGCUCACCAAGGCAUCGAUCAGUAGCUGGUCUGAGAGGACGACCAGCCACACUGGAACUGAGACACGGUCCAGACUCCUACGGGAGGCAGCAGUAGGGAAUAUUGGACAAUGGGCGCAAGCCUGAUCCAGCCAUGCCGCGUGAGUGAAGAAGGCCCUCGGGUUGUAAAGCUCUUUUGUCCGGAAAGAAAAGCACUGGGUUAAUACCCCGGUGUCCUGACGGUACCGGAAGAAUAAGCACCGGCUAACUUCGUGCC